ACAUUCGCCAUCUUCGACACUGGCAUGGACGACUUAAUCGCCCCUGGAUCACUGAAGUAGCUGCACUGGACGCCAUGUCGCGUUGGGGCAAAAAGGACGGAUAACUUCUGGAUUGGACGUCCAAACAAGUUCUUAUAGUCUCGCCUAAAGUAAGGUACCCUUUAGACAGAGAAGCAACGGUACGCUUUCCCUGUAGUAAGGGAAAUGUGAAUGGAAAGUAUGUUCAUAUACCAUUUUUACACUUGGGUUACAAAGAUAGGGAAAUCUGAGCGCACGAGCUCUCUUCAAUGAGUGUAUCUUCCGUGACCGUGGUCGUGUAAACCUGGAUCACUCUUGGAGGGCAGCCUUGCGGUAUCUUUCCAUCGAAAGUGGAAAAAAUAUCCUUCCUUUGACAGCAGUCCUAUUAUAGACAGCUAAGUUAGAUAGAAAUAUUGCAGGCAGAUAGGGCUAGGCCCUUCAGAGAGGACAAAGGCGAAAUUAUCACAACUGUGGCCAGAGACACAUCUGCUGGAGAUCAGGCCCCAAGAAAAAGACGAGAUGACCACACCUGUAUACUUCCUCAAAGGAUAAACAGUGGGCCUAAUGAAAUCUAUAUAGAUAUCAGUCACUUGUUUCUCAAUUGGAUCACUAUUACCUAAGUGACUAUACUUAUAACCUUAUUGGUUGAUCAGAGCUGUAGUAGGUUUUGCUCUGUACAACUCCUCUGUAAAGUAGGGUACCUGGCUACCUAUUCAGGACCACUCCUGCUUCUCAGGAGCUAGCCUAUCAUUAUUUUCCUACUCUUUAUCUCCGUUGUUCCUAGAAUUCAUUCUUGAAUUUUUAGAGAACACAAGCUCAGCGUAUCAGACAAUAGGUUGGGAGAAAUAACAUUUUCAUACUUCGUCCCCUGUAUCACAUACUGUAUCAGCCCCACCUCUUGGAGUAUCAGAUUUCCUAUGUGUAAUAUGAAGGAUGCUCAAGGAUGCAUACCGCCCCCCCCCCCGCAACCCCGACAUUAGCAAAAAAAUGACCAGGAUGAGAAACUGGACACAGUAAGGCUCAUCAGUGCCAUGGAAUUUCAGGAAGCUCAGAGAACAAAGCCAUGUCUGGACUAUCGGAGCACUCCAAAAUAAGAACUUUAUUAGCUUCAGAAGAUUAAUAAUAGGACUCUUCCUGGUCUACCUUGAAAACUGCAACAGACUUGGUGAUCUGAUAACCUGUUAACUGGAAAACAGAGGACUUGGACCCAGUUACUUGAGCUGAGAGACUAAAGUGUGAAGAAUUUUUAUUUCAAAGGCUGUAAAAUAAAUCAAAUCACUGUAUCUUCCAAAUUGGUAUAGAAAUCUGGGCCUCUCUGACACCUAAAACUUAUAUCCAAAUCAAUAAGCUCCUUAGAGUCCCAGAUAAUAGACACACAAUGACAGAACA